UCCUGGGGUUGCGGAUAGAUCAUAACGCUUUGAUUUCUUUAGUUGAAGAGAACUGGAAAGUUCCGUCGUAGAAGGUAAUAACCCUGUAGGCGAAAAGGAAAGAAAAGUAGAUCUACUCCAGAGUACCACGAGACACGUGAAACCUUGUGGGAAGCUGGGAGGACCAUCUCCCAAGGCUAAAUACUACCUAGUGACCGAUAGUGAAGCAGUACCGUGAGGGAAAGGUGAAAAGAACCCCGGAAGGGGAGUGAAAUAGAAUCUGAAACCGUGUGCCUACAAUCGGUCGGAGCACAUUAAAGUGUGACGGCGUACUUUUUGUAGAACGGGCCAGCGAGUUACGAUAUAUAGCAAGGUUAAGCACUUAUGGUGUGGAGCCGAAGGGAAACCGAGUCUGAAUAGGGCAACUAGUUGUAUAUUGUAGACCCGAAACCGGGUGACCUAUCCAUGGCCAGGAUGAAGCGGAAGUAAAAUUCCGUGGAGGUCCGAACCACGUUGGUGUUGAAAAACCAUGGGAUGAGCUGUGGAUAGCGGAGAAAUUCCAAUCGAACUCGGAGAUAGCUGGUUCUCCUCGAAAUAGCUUUAGGGCUAGCGUCGGGUAAUUGAGUAGUGGAGGUAGAGCACUGAAUGGGCUAGGGGCUGACAACAGUUACUGAACCCUAUCAAACUCCGAAUGCCAUAUACUUGUACCCCGGCAGUCAGACUACGAAUGAUAAGAUCCGUGGUCAAAAGGGAAACAGCCCAGACCAUCAGCUAAGGUCCCAAAGUGUAAGUUAAGUGGGAAAGGAUGUGGGAUUUCUAAGACAACUAGGAUGUUGGCUUAGAAGCAGCCACUCAUUUAAAGAGUGCGUAAUAGCUCACUAGUCGAGAGAUCCUGCGCCGAAGAUGUAACGGGGCUCAAACUUACCACCGAAGCUAUGGAUGUGUACUUUGUACACGUGGUAGAGGAGCUUUCUGUACAGGUUGAAGUCAUACCGUAAGGAGUGGUGGACAGUACAGAAGUGAGAAUGCUGGCAUAAGUAGCGAAAAACAAGUGAGAAUCUUGUUGACCGAAUAUCUAA
rnacentral:rRNA from 1 species